rnacentral:antisense_RNA from 1 species
AAAUAUUCAGUUUUAAGCAAGUACACCAAAUAUUAACCGUGAUCGUAAGUAUUCGGCAUUAAUAUAAACUGCGAGAUUUAGAAUGAGUUUUUGAAAUGAAAUAAGAUGGUGCGACCGGGUGGACUCGAACCACUGACCCCCACCA